AGAGUUUGAUCCUGGCUCAGGAUGAACGCUGGCGGCGUGCCUAACACAUGCAAGUCGAACGGACUUACAUUGAAGCCUAGCGAUAUGUAAGUUAGUGGCGGACGGGUGAGUAACGCGUGGGUAACCUGCCUUGUACUGGGGGACAACAGUUGGAAACGACUGCUAAUACCGCAUAAGCGCACAGCUUCGCAUGAAGCAGUGUGAAAAACUCCGGUGGUACAAGAUGGACCCGCGUCUGAUUAGCUGGUUGGUGAGGUAACGGCCCACCAAGGCGACGAUCAGUAGCCGGCCUGAGAGGGUGAACGGCCACAUUGGGACUGAGACACGGCCCAAACUCCUACGGGAGGCAGCAGUGGGGAAUAUUGCACAAUGGGGGAAACCCUGAUGCAGCAACGCCGCGUGAGUGAAGAAGUAUUUCGGUAUGUAAAGCUCUAUCAGCAGGGAAGAAAAUGACGGUACCUGACUAAGAAGCCCCGGCUAACUACGUGCCAGCAGCCGCGGUAAUACGUAGGGGGCAAGCGUUAUCCGGAUUUACUGGGUGUAAAGGGAGCGUAGACGGUUUUGCAAGUCUGAAGUGAAAGCCCGGGGCUUAACCCCGGGACUGCUUUGGAAACUGUAGAACUAGAGUGCAGGAGAGGUAAGUGGAAUUCCUAGUGUAGCGGUGAAAUGCGUAGAUAUUAGGAGGAACACCAGUGGCGAAGGCGGCUUACUGGACUGUAACUGACGUUGAGGCUCGAAAGCGUGGGGAGCAAACAGGAUUAGAUACCCUGGUAGUCCACGCC
rnacentral:rRNA from 1 species